rnacentral:ncRNA from 1 species
CACCGCCUGUCACACUAUAGAAGCUGGCCAUGUUUGAAGUCAUUACCCUUAACCGUAAGGAGGGGGAUGCCUAAGGCUAGGCUUGCGACUGGAGUGAAGUCGUAACAAGGUAGCCGUACUGGAAGGUGCGGCUG